rnacentral:rRNA from 1 species
AAUUUUGGACAAUGGGGGAAACCCUGAUCCAGCCAUCCCGCGUGUAUGAUGAAGGCCNNNGGGUUNUNAAGUACUUUUGGCAGNGANNAAAAGGUAUCUCCUAAUACGGGAUACUGCUGACGGUAUCUGCAGAAUAAGCACAGGCUAACUACGUUCAAGCAGCCGCGGUAAUACGUAGGGUGCAAGCGUUAAUCGGAAUUACUGGGCGUAAAGCGUGUGUAGGCGGUUCGGAAAGAAAGUUGUGAAAUCCCCAGGCUCAACCUUGGAACUGCAUUUUUAACUGCCGGGCUAGAGUAUGUCAGAGGGGGGUAGAAUUCCACGUGUAGCAGUGAAAUGCGUAGAUAUGUGGAGGAAUACCGAUGGCGAAGGCAGCCCCCCGGGAUAAUACUGACGCUCAGACACGAAAGCGUGGGGAGCAAACAGG